GAUUGCAGGCUGCAACUCGCCUGCAUGAAGUCGGAAUUGCUAGUAAUCGUAGGUCAGCAUACUACGGUGAAUACGUUCCCGGGCCUUGUACACACCGCCCGUCACACCAUGAGAGUUGGGAAUACCCGAAGCCUGUGAGCUAACUUUACGAGGUAGCAGUCGAAGGUAGAAUCAAUGAUUGGGGUGAAGUCGUAACAAGGUAAC
rnacentral:rRNA from 1 species